CAGAAAGUCUUUGUCUUUUUCAGGGAUCUUCUCACUUUGUUGGAUAUCUGAAAUGUGUAUGUUUUUUUUGGAAGCAGAGUCUCACUCUGUUGCCCAGGCUGGAGUACAGUAGCACAAUCAUAGCUCACUGCAGCCUCGACCUUCUGGGCUCAAGUGAUCCUCCUGCCUCAGCCUCCUGUGUAGCUGGGACUACAGGCAUGUGCCAUCAUGCCCAGCUAAUUUUUUAAUUUUUGAUGGAGACAGAGUCUCACUAUGUUACUCUGGCUGGUUGCGAACUCCUGGCCUCAAGUGAACUGCCUUGGCCUCUCAAAAUGCUGGGAUUACAGGCAUGAACCACUGGCCCAGCCUGAGGUUGGUCUCAAACUCCUGGCCUCAAGUGAUCCUCCUGCCUCAGCCUCCAAAGCGUUAUGAUUACAGACAUGAGCCACUGUGCCCAGCUGAGGUUAUUUUCUAUGUAAAUCUCGAUGUUCUGGAAUCGGUCUCGCUCUGUCACCCAGGCUACGUUUCAGUGGUCUGAUCACAGCUCACUGCAGCCUCAACCUCCUGGGCCCAAGCAAUCCUUCC